rnacentral:rRNA from 1 species
GACGUAGGGUGCGAGCGUUGUCCGGAUUUAUUGGGCGUAAAGAGCUCGUAGGCGGCUUGUCGCGUCGACUGUGAAAUCCCGCGGCUCAACUGCGGGUCUGCAGUCGAUACGGGCAGGCUAGAGUUCGGUAGGGGAGACUGGAAUUCCUGGUGUAGCGGUGAAAUGCGCAGAGUAUCAGGAGGAACACCGGUGGCGAAGGCAGGUCUCUGGGCCGCAACUGACGCUGAGGAGCGGAAAGCAUGGGGAGCGAACAGG